GACGUAGGGCGCGAGCGUUGUCCGGAUUUAUUGGGCGUAAAGAGCUCGUAGGCGGUGUGUCGCGUCGGCCGUGAAAACCUGCAGCUUAACUGUGGGCUUGCGGUCGAUACGGGCAUCACUGGAGUUCGGCAGGGGAGACUGGAAUUCCUGGUGUAGCGGUGAAAUGCGCAGAUAUCAGGAGGAACACCGGUGGCGAAGGCGGGUCUCUGGGCCGUAACUGACGCUGGAGGAGCGGAAAAGCAUUGGGGGAGCGAACAGG
rnacentral:rRNA from 1 species